UGCCCUAGUAACGGCGAGCGAAGCGGCAACAGCUCAAAUUUGAAAUCUGGCUACUUUGUAGUCCGAGUUGUAAUUUGUAGAGGAUGCUUUUGGUGAGGUGCCUUCCGAGUUCCCUGGAACGGGACGCCAGAGAGGGUGAGAGCCCCGUACGGUUGGAUACCAAACCUUUGUAUAGCUCCUUCAACGAGUCGAGUAGUUUGGGAAUGCUGCUCUAAAUGGGAGGUAUAUCUCUUCUAAAGCUAAAUAUAGGCUAGAGACCGAUAGCGCACAAGUAGAGUGAUCGAAAGAUGAAAAGCACUUUGAAAAGAGAGUUAAACAGCACGUGAAAUUGUUGAAAGGGAAGCGCCUAUGACCAGACUUGUUUCUUUCAGUUUUGUUAGUUCUCGGACUGAUUUACUCUGUUAGUACAGGCCAGCAUCAGUUUGUUGUCGGGGAGAAAGGCUUAGGGAAUGUGGCUCCUUCGGGAGUGUUAUAGCCCUUUGCAUAAUACCCUUCGGCAGACUGAGGACCGCGCUUCGGCAAGGAUGCUGGCGUAAUGGUCAUCAGCGACCCGUCUUGAAACACGGACCAAGGAGUCAACCUUAUGUGCGAGUGUUUGGGUGUAAAACCCCAGCGCGUAAUGAACGUGAACGUAGGUGAGAGCUUCGGCGCAUCAUCGACCGAUUCUGAUGUUCUCGGAUGGAUUUGAGUAAGAGCACACAGGGUUGGACCCGAAAGAAGGUGAACUAUGCUUGUAUAGGGUGAAGCCAGAGGAAACUCUGGUGGAGGCUCGCAGCGGGUUCUGACGUGCAAAUCGAUCGUCAAAUAUGAGCAUGGGGGCGAAAG
rnacentral:rRNA from 1 species